rnacentral:rRNA from 1 species
AGUGAACGCUGGCGGUAGGCCUAACACAUGCAAGUCGAACGGCAGCACAGUAAGAGCUUGCUCUUACGGGUGGCGAGUGGCGGACGGGUGAGGAAUACAUCGGAAUCUACUUUUUCGUGGGGGAUAACGUAGGGAAACUUACGCUAAUACCGCAUACGACCUACGGGUGAAAGCAGGGGAUCUUCGGACCUUGCGCGAUUGAAUGAGCCGAUGUCGGAUUAGCUAGUUGGCGGGGUAAAGGCCCACCAAGGCGACGAUCCGUAGCUGGUCUGAGAGGAUGAUCAGCCGCACUGGAACUGAGACACGGUCCAGACUCCUACGGGAGGCAGCAGUGGGGAAUAUUGGACAAUGGGCGCAAGCCUGAUCCAGCCAUACCGCGUGGGUGAAGAAGUCCUUCGGGUUGUAAAGCCCUUUUGUUGGGAAAGAAAAGCAGCAGGUUAAUACCCCGCUGUUCUGACGGUACCCAAAGAAUAAGCACCGGCUAACUUCGUG